GGGGGCUGAAAUGAACUCUGUGAGGAUUCUUAGCUUUGGUGGUUUAAUGCUCUAUUUUUGUGCUUGUUGGCCUCCUGCCAGGUGGCGGCGCUUUCCGGAGAGCAUCAGCUGUGGUAACAUGGAGAGAAACCAGAGAGUGGGUGGGGCUUUAGAACUUCCAAGACAGAGGCUCUGGAAGCCUCUGUCUUCAGCUACCAGAGUGGGUAGGGAAGGACCAUCAAGUGGGGGCAGGGCUAGGUGUGUCUGAGCUCAGACUCUCCUUGGGUGAGUCUUGCUGUGGCUGCUGUGGGGGAGGGGGGGGUGAGGUUCCCAGGUGAAUAGAGUUGUGUACCUAGGAGGAUAAUGGCUGCCUCUGCUGAGUCAUGCAGGUUGUUAGGGAAGUGAGGGAAAGCUGGCAGUCACAGGCCUCACCCAGCUCCCAUGCAAUCCAAAUGGCCAGUCUCACUCUCACCAUGCCCCCUCUAAAGCAUUGAGUCUGUUUCCAAGCAGUGGGUAAGCAGGGGUGAGAACUUGCCGCAGGCUACCCACCUCCCAGCUGUGAAAGAAAAGGGCUUUCGUUCUUCCCCCACCUGUGGAGUCUACACGCUGGAUUUGUGCCCUCCCUUGAGUUCUGGCCAGGAGGCUUCUCCACCUGUUCAAAUUGUUAUAAAGUUCAGCUGGAGACUUCCUUCUCUCCGUGGCAUUUUCCUCAUGCCUCUGGCCACCCUCCCAAAGGAUCCCUGUGAGGCCAGGCAGGAAUGGCCUGCUUGGGGACCCAGCAAGCUUCUAGGGCCUUUGCUGCUGCUUCCUCUACCCCUGUAUUUCGCUCGGCUCUCUAAAUGGACUCAGCUCCAGAUGAGGAAACGGAGAUUCACAAAAAUCAGGUCAUUUGUCUGAGGUCCGAGUACUGUGUGAUAGAGCAAAGAUUUGAACCCAGCUCUCUACUUACAGGUAAAUUGUCUUGUGAUUAUUUCCACAGAACUCUGACUUGGAUAAGCUACCUAAGAUCGGAACCCUCUGAUAAUUUGUGCUGCUAUUUUAAGAUCCAGUUCCAUUCUACAACUGGCUGAAGCAUGAAGUCAACUAAAAUAAACUGAAUUGAGUGGAACUGAACUGAACUGAAGUGAAAUAAUGUGAUUUCCAGUAAACCUGACACCUUAAGGACAGAACAUGAGCCUUGCCCAUCUUCCUCCCAGAGGUCCCAGCACAAUCACCGACUCACACAAUACUCUCAGUGCAUGAGUGAUGAAUUUCACUAACAGCGACCCAUCUCUCUACAUAAUCCACUCCGGUUUCACCAGAGCUGAGAGUAUCAUGAAUUACAUCUAUAGAUAGCUGUAAGCUAAUGACCAAAGCACAUAACUGAAUUCAAACAUAUUCUUUAUUGCAGUCAGAUGUGAGAAAACAAAAUUUAGAAGACAAGCCAGAAAGGAAAUGAAGAACAUAAAGAGCCUGAAUUCUCAUCGUCAAUUUUUCCCUGACUGACUCCGUUUUCCUCUCUUCUUUCCAUUUACCUUUCUGUUCCCAUCCCCAUCAUUUUUGUAGUGUUUAUUGAGUGUCUGCUGCAUGCCAGUCAAUGUGCUGAGUACUUUUCAUGUGUUAUACCAUUUGAUCGUCACAGCAGCACACUAUUAUAAUUAUGAAUAUGAUUCCACAUACUAUAUCUAAAAUUUAACUUAAUUUUACAUAGGAGGAAGCUGAGACUUGCCCAAGACUACUCCAUUAGUAAGAUGUGAACCAAGUGAACCAUGUCUGACUCAAACCUAACCCCUGAUUCUCUGAAUCCAUAUCACCGUAGAACUCAACAGUGAAAUAUUGGGGUAGAGGUAAUGCUAUUAGUACACAAACUAUGCACAGAUUUACAAGCAACUAAACAGGAACUCAUGGCCAGGCACAAUGGUUCAUGCCUGUAAUUCCAGCACUUUGGGAGGCCAAGGUGGGCAGAUCACCUGAAAUCAGGAGUUCAAGAUCAGUGUGGCCAACAUGACAAAACCCCAUCUCUACUAAAAAUACAAAAAUUAGCUGGGUGUGGUGGCACAUGCCUGUAAUCCCAGCUACUCAGCAGGCUAAGGCAGGAGAAUUGCUUGAACCUGGGAAGGAGAGGUUGCAGUGAGCCGAGAUCACAUCACUGCACUCCAGCCUGGGUGACAGAGCAAAACUCUAUCUUAAAUGAAUAAAUAAAUAAAAAUGAAAAAAACAAACAAAUGAAAGAAAGUCACGAGCACAACUUCUGACUCCCCCUCCAUCUUUUCCAUUGUUCCCUGUCUCUCUGCUUAAAAACAAUCCGAGUGACUCUCACUUUUUCCUUGUGUCUCCCACCCAUCUACCCUACUCUUGCUCUACACAGUUAAGGAUUGUUUUGAAAUUCUAUGGGGAAAAAUUAUAAAAUUUAUAAUCCCAAAGAGUCCAUCCAAUUGUCUGUAACAAGAUUUAAAGCUUAGUAUUAUCUCAACCCAAAAUUUGACAAAUGACAGUUUCCUUGUUGCUUGUACACACGUCACUCCAACAGCUGAAAAGCCAGGAUAGAUGUUUGCCAGUAACUUCCUUGCAGAGGCCUUAAUAAACUUAAGCAUGAUAUAUACCAAUAACCUAAUAAAUAUAUUGAGGGUUUCUUCUUAGCCAUAUCCUUGAUAUAAAGUGACAUCUGAGUUUUAUGACGUUUAAGGUUUUUGCCUUUUCUUCUGUCUUGGUGGCUAUUAACUGAGCACAUUUCUAUUUGUGAAUCAUAAGCUAAUGUAUUUACAUUUAGGAACAGAAAAUCAUGUCACUUGAUAAGUAUGCAGGUGUCAUAAGCUCCAGAGCACCAGCAAAAGAUGCAGGUGCUGACCACUUUGUUUCAUGUCAAAAUUCACUGUCUGAAGAUGCUCUGUGACCAUGAGGCUCAUCAAACACUCAACAUUCAAAAGAACUCUUACCACAUUCACACAGCAAAUCAGCAAAUCAUUUUUAAUCAUAAAUCAUCUUUGUUUGAAAACAAUUUACUCACUUGAAUUCUAGGUAACAUUCUAGGUUAUGUGUUCAUUUAGAUGUUCUUCUUUUCCAUGGAAAUCAAUUAAAAACAAAUGCACCAUCUUGGGAGAUGAGCUUAAAAGAUUAAUGUCAGACUUUUUGAAAAAACAAUUACUUGGGCAGAAUUAUGAAUGAACAACGUGUGACGUUUUUGUCAUUUUUUUUUUUUGGUUCUUUUAUUCUGCAUAUUUCAGUUUGGCUUUUAAUUUCAUCAAAAUUAUAGAUGCACAUAAUUCUUUUAAGCAUAGUAGGAAGACCAUGGGCUUCCUAAUGUGCUUAAAACAGGGUCCUCACACCUUGUCCAAUAUAUCCGAGAUUUCUCCCCUUUCUAGAGAAAACUACUUUAAAUUCUGAUAGAUUUUUUGUUGCUGUUGCUCAUAGUUACUUCCAUAACUCUAAAUAGCUCAUGCUGUUACUUUUAAUAUUUCUAUUUUGAGGCUAUCUAAUGGGUUCUCUCUAUGGAAAAUCAAGAUUCACUCUCAUUCACUCUCCCUCAACCUGACUGACCCCCAAGUAUCAUCUUCAUUAGUUUAGUUAGAUUACUAUACAGUAUUUACCUUAUUAUAGUUAGGUCAAUGCUGGGUCACAUAUUAAUCUAUAAUAACUUUUCCUUUUUAUGAGCAAUAUUUUGGUUUUACUUGAAGUUAAUCAUCACACUUGUGUUUGCUUAGUUGUGCAAAUGUCUGUCACUAACUUUGCAAACUUUUCCUCCAGUGUCUAAGCUUCACACAUGAGCUAAUUUUAUUGAUUGCAUCUUUAUUUCAUCUCUGGUGACAUCUGACCUGUUCUAGUCUGGACAGGUUUCUUCCCAGUCCCCAGCUGGCUCUUUCUUAACCACCAACUUGGGUUUGGAUUUCCUAUAACUGGAUCCUGUGUCUUUAUUGCUAGUUUAGUUCAUAGUUUUGGUGGAGCAUAUUCUCAAGACCAUCCAUGUGUGGAGAACUAAUUUGACAAAGACUUGAUGUGAACAUGUCUCUAUUUUCUAAUGUAAAUCAUUUUCCCUUGGGAUAUCAAAAGUUUACUGCAUUGACUUCUUCCCUCUAGUAUUGUUUUUGAGGCAUCUAAAGCCAAUCUGAUUCCUGAUCCUUCAGAAGAACCUCCUGCUGCUUUGGGGAGAAGGAGGUUCCUCUACCUGGUAGCUUUUGGGUACUCCUCUUUGCCCCCAUGGCUGAAAUUCACAAUGAAGUGCUUGGUGUGGUUUUAUUUUUAUAGGUUAUGCUGUACACUCAAUAGGUCCUUAUAUAGGAAAAAAACAAAAAAUAAAUAACAAAAAAAACAACAACACUGUUUUCUUCUUGAUACGUCACUUUCAAUGCAUCUGACAAGAGACAGGGGAGGAGUGUUACCACACCAAGCAAUUCUCCACUUCUUGGCAGACACCAACUGGGUGCCCCCCAGUUCAAUUCAACUCUGACACUAACAGAAUCAAUGUAGGCCCCAAAGUUUAAAGGUUCAGUCCCACAAGACUGCCCCACACUUUGCAGGCCAGUUGCAAACAGUAGGUUCCCAGAUUACCCACAACUUCUGUCCUACUUGGCUACAAACCAGAGUUUCCCACACCCAACUCUGUGGGUUUGACAAUUUGCUAGAGUGGCUUAUAGAACUCAGAAAAGCACUUUGCUGUUAUCAGUUUAUUAUAAAAAGAUACAGCUCAGUAACAGCCAGAUGAAGAGAUGCCUAAGUUAAGAUAUGAGGGAAGGGGCACGCAGGCUCCAUGCCCUCCAUGGGUGAGCCACCCUUCCAGGACCCCCACACGUUGAGAAAUCUGGAAGCUCCCCAAACACAGUCUUCUUGGGGUUUUAUGGAGGCUCCAUUUAGCAGGCAGGAUUGAUUAAAUCAUUGGCUGUUUGUGAUGUUCAUCUCCAGCCCUCUCUCCACUGGUGGAAGGUUGAAGGGUGUGGCUGGAUGUUCCAACCCUCUAAUCAUUUGCUUAGUUCCUCUGACAAGCAGCCUCGUCCAGUGCCUGUCCAGGAGUCUCCAGCCACCAGUCAUCUCAUUAGCAUACUAAAAGAUGCUUAUCAUGUCAGAGGUUCCAAGGGUUUUAGGAGCUACAUGCCAUAAAAUCAAAUAUUUAGUGGAAGACUAAUAUGGUUUGGCUAUGUCCCCACCAAAAUUUCAUCUUGAAUUGUAGCUCCCAUAAUUCCCACGUGUCAUGGGAGAGACCAGGUGGGAGGUAAUUUAAUCAUGGGGGCAGGUCUUUCCCAUGCUGUUCUCAUGAUAGCGAAUAAGUCCCAUGAGAUCUGAUGGUUUUAUAAAUGGGAGCUCUUCUGCACAAACUCUCGUCUGCCACCAUGUAAGAUGUCACUUUGCUCUUCCUUCAUCUUCUACCAUGAUUGUGAGGCCUCCCCAGCCAUGUGGAAUUGUGAAUCCAUUAAUCUUCUUUCCUUUAUAAAUUACCCAAUCUCAAGUAUGUCUGUAUUAGCAGCAUGAGAACAGACUAAUACAAAGACCAAAAUAUAUAUUUCUUAUUAUAUCACAGUAGCACAGCCCUCUUAAUGUACAAACUCAUUUUCUACAAUUCUGGCUAAUUUCUUGAAUUUUUUUUCUCUAAUAAUUUCUUUUCUCUCUUCUUUUUCCUGUUAUUCAGAUGGAUGUACCUGCUUCUUGAGCUGAAUUCUCACCAAUCCCUCAUUUCUGGUCAUUCUUAACCUUACUCCCAGAUGUGUUUGGUCUACUGCAGCCUUCGGAUCCCUACUAGAGUUUGCCUUAGGAAUCAGCUUUCUCAGACCUGUGUCUGAGAUAAAAUGUCUGGGAUAAAAUGUCAUUUAUCCUGCUUCCUGGAUUCUGAAAUUUGAUGAUUCUGUUCUCCUCUUUCAUCUCUUCUUUCUUAAACCCUUUUUUUUAAAAAAAAAUCCUGUAACUGUCAUUUACUGGAACUUCAGAGAGAAGCAGAGGUUAAUACCUAUGUUCAAUGGAUACAGGAGAUAAAAAGAAAUUAUUUAGGCAGUUAAUGAGGGUAAGAGAGUUCUUGGCAAGGCUUCCCUUUUAACACAAGCAACCCGCCAAAUCAUUUCUUUUCUAACAAAGAGCAGCCGGUAAAAUCAAGCCACAGACACAGAUAAGCAAGCUAGAAGCUUUCACAGGUAAAUGUGGCAACUGUGCCAAUAGAAACACACUACCUAAGGGCCAGGUAUGUUCAACAUGGAGGUUCCCUCUUCCCUUUUGUGGCUACAUAAGUGGUAAAAAAGCAUGGAGCCAGCCAGGUAGAGGCCUCAUCUGCAUAAUAAAAGAUUAGGGUGAGAUGUCCAGCUUCUUCACGCCCUAUGCAAACAGCACACCUGGUCUGACUAAUCUCUUGAUCCCUAUGUAAAUGAGACACCGCCUCCUCAAGCUCCUCUAUGAAAUCCCUUGCAUUUCAGUAGGAAACCAGAAGACCCACUUGGGAGCCCCAUGCUCUCUCUGCAGGAAAGAGAGCUUUUCUUGUCUCUUUUCUCUCGCCUAUUAAACCUCAGCUCUUCAACUCACUUCUUGUGUGUCUGUGUCCUUGAUUUCCUUAGUGUGAGACAACGAACCUCAGAUAUUUACCACAGACAACGUAGCCACUUCACAAUCUUGCAAAUUUUCACCAAGUCCUUUUCAUUAUUAUGUAAGGAGUUGGAACUGACUGAUGAGGGUUUGAUUGUGAUUGCCUCUAGCUCUCCCUGAUAGCAUUUGGAUGAGCUGGACAGAUGUAGGAUUAACAAAGGUCUGUAGGGUGGAGCAAAUAUGUCUCAUUACCAAGGGUAAAAUUUCAAGUGAAGAGGCUCCCAUACUAGAGCAACCACAACAAAACAAAUAACCAUGGAUUUGGGACUGAACACUAGGAAAGAGUGAAUAUAUGUUUUUGAGGUCAGCUGUGCUGAAGGCAAGAGAAGAACAUUGCCAAGUAACUUCCAAAUGUGACAUUUUUCAACCUUGGUUUAUGACUGAAAAGCCAAGAAAGACUAAGCUAAAAUGGAAUUCAGCUUCCCAGCCUAAAUAGUGGGAGAGGUCCAAAAUACAGCUAAGGAAAAUUUUACUGGGAAAGCUAGUUGUAUCCAUUUACUCUGUUCUACACAUAUCAAUUAGAAAUUUUAAAAAGGUAAGUUUGAUCAAGCUUUUAUUCCGACAUUUGAAAA
rnacentral:lncRNA from 1 species